rnacentral:rRNA from 1 species
GAGGCGAAGCCGCGAGGCAGAGCGAACCCCAAAAAGCCGUCCCAGUUCGGAUCGCAGGCUGCAACCCGCCUGCGUGAAGUCGGAAUCGCUAGUAAUCGCGGAUCAGCAUGCCGCGGUGAAUACGUUCCCGGGCCUUGUACACACCGCCCGUCACACCAUGAGAGUCGGGAACACCCGAAGCCCGUAGCCUAACAGCAAUGAGGGCGCGGUCGAAGGUGGGUUCGAUAAUUGGGGUGAAGUCGUAACAAGGUAUC